rnacentral:lncRNA from 1 species
AACCCAGUUAUUUGUCAAAUAUUAAAUCCAACACUAUUUCAUAUUCAAAUCAAGAAAACUCCAAGUCAAAUUAAAAUCAUCCAUCAUAUAACAUCACAUAAUACAUCUCCCAGGUUUACAUAACAAAAUAACUCAUCUCAUGGAUACAUUUCCUUACACGGAAAUAUAGCAAAAACGGACAGAAUAUAGCAAAUACAUUUCCUCCAGC